rnacentral:rRNA from 1 species
GACGAACGCUGGCGGCGUGCUUAACACAUGCAAGUCGAACGAAGUGGCGAACGGGUGAGUAACGCGUAAUCAACCUGCCCUUCAGAGGGGGACAACAGUUGGAAACGACUGCUAAUACCGCAUACUGAAUGUGGGGAUUGCGUCUGAUUAGCUAGUUGGAGGGGUAACGGCCCACCAAGUCGAUGAUCAGUAGCCGGGCUGAGAGGAUGAACGGCCAAAGUGGGACUGAGACACGGCCGAGACUCCUUCGGGAGGCAGCAGUGGGGAAUCUUCCGCAAUGGACGAAAGUCUGACGGAGCAACGCUGCGAGAGUGAUGAAGGCCUUCGGGUUGUAAAGCUGUGUUAAUCGGGACGCGGGAAAGGAAGAGAAAGCCACGGCUAACUACGUGCCAGCAGCCGCGGUAAGAG